rnacentral:rRNA from 1 species
GACGAACGCUGGCGGCGUGCUUAACACAUGCAAGUCGAACGGAAAGGCCCUGCUUUUGCGGGGUGCUCGAGUGGCGAACGGGUGAGUAACACGUGAGUAACCUGCCCUUGACUUUGGGAUAACUUCAGGAAACUGGGGCUAAUACCGGAUAGGAGCUCCUGCUGCAUGGUGGGGGUUGGAAAGUUUCGGCGGUUGGGGAUGGACUCGCGGCUUAUCAGCUUGUUGGUGGGGUAGUGGCUUACCAAGGCUUUGACGGGUAGCCGGCCUGAGAGGGUGACCGGCCCACAUGGGGAUUGGGUGCGGCCCCAGCCCCUACGGGGGGGGGGAGGGGGGAAUAAUGCACAAAGGGGGGAAGCCUGAAGCAGCAACGCCGCGUGCGGGGUGGAGGCCUUUGGGUUGUAAACCGCUUUCGCCUGGGACGAAGGGUGAGGGACGGUAAUGGGUAAAAAAACACCGGGUAACUACGGU